AUUGAACGCUGGCGGAAUGCUUUACACAUGCAAGUCGAACGGCAGCACGGGAGCUUGCUCCUGGUGGCGAGUGGCGAACGGGUGAGUAAUGCAUCGGAACGUACCUUUUAGUGGGGGAUAACUAUCCGAAAGGAUGGCUAAUACCGCAUACGCCCUGAGGGGGAAAGCAGGGGAUCGCAAGACCUUGCGCUAAUAGAGCGGCCGAUGUUCGAUUAGCUAGUUGGUGGGGUAAAGGCUCACCAAGGCGACGAUCGAUAGCUGGUCUGAGAGGAUGAUCAGCCACACUGGAGCUGAGACACGGUCCAGACUCCUGCGGGAGGCAGCAGUGGGGAAUUUUGGGCAAUGGGGGCAACCCUGAUCCGGCAAUGCCGCGUGUGUGAAGAAGGCCUUCGGGUUGUAAAGCACUUUUGUCAGGAACGAAACGGCUGGGGCUAAUAUCCUCGGCUAAUGACGGUACCUGAAGAAUAAGCACCGGCUAACUACGUGCCAGCCGCCGCAGUAA
rnacentral:rRNA from 1 species